rnacentral:rRNA from 1 species
GGGUGAGUAACACGUGGAUAACCUACCUAUAAGACUGGGAUAACUUCGGGAAACCGGAGCUAAUACCGGAUAAUAUUUUGAACCGCAUGGUUCAAAAGUGAAAGACGGUCUUGCUGUCACUUAUAGAUGGAUCCGCGCUGCAUUAGCUAGUUGGUAAGGUAACGGCUUACCAAGGCAACGAUGCAUAGCCGACCUGAGAGGGUGAUCGGCCACACUGGAACUGAGACACGGUCCAGACUCCUACGGGAGGCAGCAGUAGGGAAUCUUCCGCAAUGGGCGAAAGCCUGACGGAGCAACGCCGCGU